UGCAUCUAGAUUUCCGGUUGAUCCCGCCGGAGGUUACUGCUAUCGAGGUUCGACUAAGCCAUGCGAGUCGAAUGCCGCAAGGCAUGGCGUACUGCUCAGUAACACGUGGACAACCUACCCUGAGGACGGGUAUAAACCCGGGAAACUGGGUAUAAUCCCCGAUAGUCCUCGGCUGCUGGAAUGCACCGAGGACGAAAGCUCCGGCGCCUUAGGAUGGGUCUGCGGCCUAUCAGGUUGUAGUGGGUGUAACGUACCUACUAGCCUACGACGGGUACGGGUUGUGAGAGCAAGAGCCCGGAGAUGGAUUCUGAGACACGAAUCCAGGCCCUACGGGGUGCAGCAGGCGCGAAAACUUUACAAUGCUGGAAACAGCGAUAAGGGGACCUCGAGUGCCAGGUUACAAAUCUGGCUGUCGUGAUGCCUAAAAAGCAUUGCAUAGCAAGGGCCGGGCAAGACCGGUGCCAGCCGCCGCGGUAACACCGGCGGCUCGAGUGGUAACCGUUAUUAUUGGGUCUAAAGGGUCUGUAGCCGGCCGGAUAAGUCUCUUGGGAAAUCCAGCAGCCCAACUGUUGGGCUUUCAGGAGAUACUGUUCGGCUCGAGGCCGGGAGAGGUGAGAGGUACUUCAGGGGUAGGGGUGAAAUCUUGUAAUCCUUGAAGGACCACCAGUGGCGAAGGCGUCUCACCAGAACGGACCUGACGGCAAGGGACGAAAGCUAGGGGCACGAACCGGAUUAGAUACCCGGGUAGUCCUAGCCGUAAACGAUACUCGCUAGGUGUCGGCCACGGUGCGACCGUUGUCGGUGCCGUAGGGAAGCCGUGAAGCGAGCCACCUGGGAAGUGCGGCCGCAAGGCUGAAACUUAAAGGAAUUGGCGGGGGAGCACCACACGGUUGGAGCUUGCGGUUUAAUUGGAGUCAACGCCGG
rnacentral:rRNA from 1 species